rnacentral:rRNA from 1 species
GCGAAGAACCUUACCUACUCUUGACAUCCAGAGAACUUAGCAGAGAUGCUUUGGUGCCUUCGGGAACUCUGAGACAGGUGCUGCAUGGCUGUCGUCAGCUCGUGUUGUGAAAUGUUGGGUUAAGUCCCGCAACGAGCGCAACCCUUAUCCUUGUUUGCCAGCGAGUAAUGUCGGGAACUCCAGGGAGACUGCCGGUGAUAAACCGGAGGAAGGUGGGGACGACGUCAAGUCAUCAUGGCCCUUACGAGUAGGGCUACACACGUGCUACAAUGGCGCAUACAGAGGGCGGCCAACUUGCGAAAGUGAGCGAAUCCCAAAAAGUGYKUCGUAGUCCGGAUUGGAGUCUGCAACUCGACUCCAUGAAGUCGGAAUC